rnacentral:rRNA from 1 species
CCUACGGGGUGCAGCAGUGGGGAAUAUUGCACAAUGGGGGAAACCCUGAUGCAGCGACGCCGCGUGAGUGAAGAAGUAUUUCGGUAUGUACAGCUCUAUCAGCAGGGAAGAAGAAAGACGGUACCUGACUAAGAAGCCACGGCUAACUACGUGCCAGCAGCCGCGGUAAUACGUAGGGGGCAAGCGUUAUCCGGUUUUACUGGGUGUAACGGGCGCGUAGACGGCUGUGCAAGUCUGAAGUGAAAGCCGAGGGCUCAACCCUGGGACUGCUUUGGAAACUGGGGAGCUAGAGUGCUGGAGAGGUAAGUGGAAUUCCUAGUGUAGCGGUGAAAUGCGUAGAUAUUAGGAGGAACACCAGUGGCGAAGGCGGCUUACUGGACAGUAACUGACGUUGAGGCUCGAAAGCGUGGGGAGCAAACAGGAUUAGAUACCCGAGUAGUC